GGCAACGUGCCCGAGUGGUUAAGGGGAGAGAUUAGAAUGUCUAAUUAUCUCUUACGGUUUCCGUGCGUAGGUUCGAAUCCUGCCGUUGUCG
rfam:Pneumocystis jirovecii RT7 supercont1.8, whole genome shotgun sequence.